AUCCGGCCACAUUGGGACUGAGACAACGGCCCAAACUNCUACGGGAGGCAGCAGUAGGGAAUCUUCCACAAUGGACGCAAGUCUGAUGGAGCAACCGCCGCGUGAGUGAAGAAAGGCUUUCGGGUCGUAAAACUCUGUUGUUGGAGAAGAAUGGUCGGCAGAGUAACUGUUGCCGGCGUGACGGUAUCCAACCAGAAAGCCACGGCUAACUACGUGCCAGCAGCCGCGGUAAUACGUAGGUGGCAAGCGUUAUCCGGAUUUAUUGGGCGUAAAGCGAGCGCAGGCGGUUUAUUUAAGUCUGAUGUGAAAGCCCUCGGCUUAACCGAGGAAGCGCAUCGGAAACUGGGAAACUUGAGUGCAGAAGAGGACAGUGGAACUCCAUUGUGUAGCGGUGAAAUGCGUAGAUAUAUGGAAGAACACCAGUGGCGAAGGCGGCUGUCUGGUCUGUAACUGACGCUGAGGCUCGAAAGCAUGGGUAGCGAACAGGAUUAGAUACCCUGGUAGUCCAUGCCGUAAACGAUGAAUGCUAGGUGUUGGAGGGUUUCCGCCCUUCAGUGCCGCAGCUAACGCAUUAAGCAUUCCGCCUGGGGAGUACGACCGCAAGGUUGAAACUCAAAGGAAUUGACGGGGGCCCGCACAAAGCGGUGGAGCAUGUGGUUUAAUUCGAAGCAACGCGAAGAACCUUACCAGGUCUUGACAUCUUUUGAUCACCUGAGAGAUCAGGUUUCCCCUUCGGGGGCAAAAUGACAGGAUGGUGCAUGGUUGUCGUCAGCUCGUGUCGUGAGAUGUUGGGUUAAGUCCCGCAACGAGCGCAACCCUUAUGACUAGUUGCCAGCAUUUAGUUGGGCACUCUAGUAAGACUGCCGGUGACAAACCCGGAGGAAGGUGGGGAUGGACGUCAAAUCA
rnacentral:rRNA from 1 species